GGGCGCGUAGCUCAGCGGAAGAGCACUACGUUGACAUCGUAGGGGUCACAGGUUCGAUCCCUGUCGCGCCCACCA
rnacentral:tRNA from 4 species